GGCGGGGCUGGGAAAAUUGCUGCCUGCGUCGGCUGGGCCUGUGGGCUUGUAGGCCUGCGUCCGGCAGCGCGCGGCCGUGCUUUCUAAGCGGGCUCGGUAGCACCAGACUUCACCGGCCCGGCGCGGGGCUCAAAAGUGCUCGCACUCCCUGCGGCCAGCGCGCUGACCGGAGCCUCUGGGUCUCGCACGCAGCAGCUGCAGACGCUGCCCGGCGCGGUGGGGCUGAGAGCAAAAUGGCCCGCCAGUGUGGUUGCCCAGACAGUGCUGGGCCCUCCUAGGUGGAUGGCCCUGCCCCAGCCUAACUUCUGUACCCCAGCAUAACCUCCAAAGCAACAGCCGUGCCCUGGGAGCCUGUUCAACACUGAACAUAUCCCACAAUAACACAGUUCCAGCGUCGCUGGUAAAAAGCAGAAAUGGCUUUGGUGUAGCAUUGCUGAAACAAGUAUGGAGCUUGCAGACAGAGGACCUAUAUGCAGAUGCUGGCUUUACCAUUUAUGAAUGCUUUUGGUUCAGUCUUUCUGAGCUUCACUUUCUUUUGUCUGAAACAAGAUUAAGUAAGAUACACCGGACUUGAAACUUUAGACAUCAGCAACCUAGAAACACCAAUGGCACAGACAAAAAAAGCCCUAUCAAAACACUGCUCCAGCUGAAGGGCCAGAAAAGGAGUAUAGCAGACAGAAAACUUUUUGACAAUAAAUGCAUACUCUAGGCAAAACUACAGACAGAAUUGUGACCCCAUCCUACUCAUGUCAGCAAAGUCCUAGUGGAGAGCCUAAACCCCCACCCUCACCAGACUAUUAGGUAGUUUAAAGAAUUGCCUUACACUGAAACAUCUUCAGGUUAGCAUUAUGGAAAAAUAUUUAAGUAAUUAUUUAGAGGUGCCCUAAGCCCUUCUUCCCAGGGUGGUGUCAGAGAAGGUCAAAUAAAGAACCAGUACUUUCAUCAUCACAAGCCAGUAACAAGGAGUCUCCCAUCUUGGGUGUCAGUGGAGGCCAAAUGAGGAACUUGGAUGUCUCCUCCAACUUGGCAACAAUGAGGUGGUGCCUGCUCCCCAUACCCACUUCCCCUGCCACUACCAUGCUAGAAAAUGCCAGCUAAAAGAGAUUUUAAUAAGAUUCAAAACCUCAUAAAUAUCCCGUAUGUCCAGGUUUUAUGAAAAUCACUCAUUAUAUCAAGAACUGGGAAGAUCUCAAACUGUAUGAAAAAAGACCAUUAAUAAAUGACAAAACCAAGAAAACAAAAAUGUUAGCAUUAUCUGACAAAGAUGUUAAAGCAGACAUCAUAAAAAUGCUUCAGUGAGCAACUACAAAAACACUUGAAACAAAUGAAAAAAAUAGAAAGUCUCAUUAGAUAACAGAAGACAUAAAGAAAAACCAAAUGGAAAUUUUAGAACUGAAAAAUACAAUAAUGAAAAUAAAAAACUAAAUGAAUUGAGUAACAGAACGAAGGAGACAAAGGAAUGAAUCAAGGAACUUGAAGACAGAACAAUAGAAAUUAUCCACUCUAAAAAAGAGAGGAAAUAGACUAAAAAGAACAGAGUCUCAUGGAACUAAGUGACUGCAACAAAAGAUGUAACAUUCAUGAAAUCAGAGUCCUAGAGGGAGAAAAGAAAAAGGGUGAGGCUAAAAGUACUCAAAUAAAUAAUGUCUGAAAACUUCUGAAAUUUGGUGGAAGAGAUAAACCUACAGAUUCAAGAAGCUGAGUGAAUUUUCAACGAAGGAGCCAAAACAGUUAAAUGGGAAGAAGGUAGUUAUUUUUUAACAAAUAGUGCUGAAACAACAGGGUAUCCACAUGUAAAAGAACAAAGUUGGACAUCUGCUUCACACUGUAUACAAAAAUUAACUUAAAAUGGAUCAUAGAACAAAAUAUAAGUGCUAAAACUAUAAAAUUAUCAGAAGUAAACAUGGAAUUAAAUUUUUGUGACCUGGAGUUAGGAAAAGACCUCCUACAUAUGACACCAAAAACACAAGCAAUAAAAGAAAAAGUAAACAAGUUGGAUUUCAUCAAAAUUUCAGACUUUCAUGCUUCAAAUGGCACCACCAAGAAAGAAAAUGAAAAGACAGCACACAGAAUGGGAGAAAAUAUUUGCAAAUUACAUAUCCAAUAAGAGAUUUAUAUUUAGUAUAGAUAAAAAACUCUUACACCUCAAUAAUAAAAAACAACCUAAUUAAAAAAUGGAGAAAGGAUCUGUAUAGACAUUUCUUCAAAUAAGAUAUACAAAUGACAAAUACACUUAUGAAAAGAAGCUCAAGAUCAUUAGCUAUUAGGGAAAUGCAAAUCAAAACAAGGAGAUACCACUUCACAAUCAUUAGAAUAUCUAUAAUAUGAAGUACAGAUAACAAGAAUUGGGGAGGAUAUGGAGAAAUUGGAACCCCCAUACAUUGCUGGUGGGAAUGUAAAAUGCUACAGCUGCUCUGGAAAACUGUGGCAGUUCCUCAAACAAUUAAAUAUAGAGUUACCCUAUGACUCAGGAAUUCUACUCCAAAUAAAAAUGAAAACAUAUGUCUACACAAAAAGUGGUACAAAAAGCAGGAUUAUUUGUAAUUAUUUGUAAUGUCCAAAAAGUGAAACAACUCAAAUGUCCAUCAAUUGAUUAAUGAAUAAACGAAUAUAGUAUAUGUAUACAAUGGACUAUUAAUUGAUACUAAAAAGGAAUAAAGUGCUAAUACAUGCUACAGUAUGAAUCAACCUUGAAAACAUUAUGCUUUCUUUAAGUGAAAGAAGCCAGUUACAAAAGCCACAUGUUACAUUAUGUGAAAGUCUAAAAUAAGCAGAUAUAUAGAGACGAAGCCUAUUAGUGGUUUCCAAGGGUCAAGGAGGGAAACAGUGAUUACUAAUAGGUAUAGGGUUUCUUUUCUAGGUGAUUAAAGUGUUCUAAAGUUAGAUAGUGGGGGUUACACAAUGUUGUGAAUCUAAAAACCACUGAAUUAUAAACUUUAAAAGGGUGAGUUUCAUGGUUAAAAAUUAUCUCAAUAAAGCUGUUACUAAAAAAAAAGACAAAUGAAACCUAAUAGGAUAAACUCAGAGUUUCAUGCCAAGAUAUAUCAUUCAACUUUUGAAAACUAAGAACAUAGAAAAAAUUGUUAAAAGCAGAGAGCAAGAAAUUACACCUUACUUGUAAGGGAAAAGCAAUUUGAAUGACAGUGGAUCUUACAUCAGAAACCAUGGACUCCAUAAGGAAGUGACACAACAUCUUUCAAGUGCCAAGAGGAAAAAACUGUCAACCCAAAUCCAAUAUCCAGCAAAAAUACCCUUUAGGAAUGGAGGGGAAAUAAUGACAUUCUCAGAUGAAGGGAAACUAAGAGAUUUUGUCACUAGCAGUUUUUUUUCUAAAAGCGUGGCUACAGAAAGUUCUUGAAACAGAAAGGAAAUUAUGAAAGAAAGAAUAUUGGAACAUUAAGAACCAAGAAAACACUAAGUAAAAAUAUGAGUAAAUAUAAUAGGCUUCCCUUCUCCUCUUGAGUUUUCUAAAUUAUAUUUGAAGGUUAAAGCAGAAAUUUUAACAUCUGAUUUGGUAGACAGAAUACUUGAGACAAUCAUAUUAUAAAAGGAAAAAGGUAAGGAGCUAUAAAGGGAAAUAAGGUUUCUACACUUCACUUGAACUGGCAAAAUGCCACCACAAGUACACUGGGAUAGGUUUGAUAUCGAUAUUGACUUAGUCCGCUUAUGCUGUUAUAUCACAAUACCUGAGACUGAGUAAUUUAGAAUAAACUGAAAUUGAUUUUCUCACAGUUCUGGAAAUCGGGAAGUCCUAGAUCAAGGCAUUGGCAUCUGGUGUCUGCUGAGGACCAUCUUGUUGCAUGAAGCCUCUUUCAUAAGGGCCUUAAUUAAUGAGGAAGAACUUUCAUGACUUAAUUACCUCUUAAAGACUUUAUUACCUAAUACCAUCACAUUGGCAAUGUCUGAAUUUUGGAAGGGACACAUUUAACCAUAGCAAAUAUAUGAAAAAAUUUAAGUUAUAAAAAUAUGUAUAAUUUUAAUACCUAAAGCAACUAGUGAAAAAGAAAUAGAUACACC